GGACCCAAGGGCUCGCGGCGCGUCCCUGGGACGCGUCGUCUGGGCUGCCUCCCUCCCAGGGAGAAACAGGGGGACGCCCCGGGACAGUGCCUACCGGUCCGGGUGAUGGGGAUAACGGUGCCAGGUCGCGGCCGGGGAGGGACAGAUCACCCCUCGAAGCGCUUCGCCGGGUGCCCCAGAGCCGACUUCUCCCGGCCUCGCGAACAGAAGAGACGCAGCUGGUCGCCUUAGGCAAAAGGCAGACCAGGGGAUCCAGAAAACUGGAUUCCUGGUUGCGGUGACAGAGUGAGGUACCCCGCAGAGACCUGGGAAUCCGGCCCUUCCAAACCGGUUACUACAGCCGAUGGGACCUCGUGCGCCGCAGAGAAGCACAGACCCCACAGGCCGGUGGCAAAUUACCGUCCUGCUCCCAGCUGUAUGACCCAGAUCUCCCGUAUGCGGCCCGCCUUUGCAUCAGCUUAGUUUUUUUUUCCACACUUCCUCAUUAGAAUGUAUGCUCCCAGAAAAGGAAGGAAGAGAAACAAGUUGAAUGCGGUUUCUAACUCACCUGGUUCCUAGUGCCUGGAGCCAAUACUCCACCUAUAUAGUCUUUGCUCAAGAAAUAUUUGUGGACAAGUGCCAAGUGACUGUUAACAUGAGGGAAGUGAUUCAAGACAAAGACCCAUUCUGCCAGUGGGCUAUGCUGGGAAUACCAACUAUGCUUGUUACAGAAUGUGCACGGCGACUGCUGACCGGCCUUCCCGAUGCCAGCAAGAGGGUACAGAAGCAAUCUCCCAAGCUUUCCACGACGUUCAAGUGACCAGGCACUUUGACCCCCAUCAUUAGGGGCUGCCCCAAAGAAGCUGUGUUCCUACCUCACUUGGUGCCCCUAAGCGGCAGUUCAAACACCAGAGGGUGUUUGACCCUUGUUGAAAUGGAUUUGUCAUAGGUGUGCGCUUUCAAUUGGCGUUUCCCUCCUGUCUUGUUUGAGAAAUCCAAAUCGUUUAACGCUCCUACCUGCUUCUUUUUUUUACAACUUCACAGUCACAGCAGAAUUUCAUUUUGUCCUUCAAUUGUGUGGCUUGCCUUAAUCCUCUGAUAGAGCUUCAAAUUGUUUAUUCCUUAAUUUUUUUUUUUUUAAGUGACCUGGAGUUUAGCCAGCUCCAGCCGGUCUCUGAGUUUGGCUUUGUGUCCAUAAGCCGCAGUUGGGAGAAACGCAAGAAAUGCCCAAACAGAAUAAAACAAAUGAUCUAUUUAGUCUCAUUUCCUCUCUUGGAAGAGGUCCAGCUUCGAGUGCUUUGGAAGAAGAUGAAAAUCCCCCACUACUCCCUCAUACACCCAAACAGUAUGACCUUGUAUUUAAGUAAAAGCUAUCCUUAGCUCCCAA